AUGUCCCUUANUUGAGGACCCGAAUGAAGGGCAACAUGAUAGAAGGCCUGUCUCUUAAGACCAGCCAAUGAAAUUGUGCCGCCAGUACAAAAACUGGUAUAUUAAAGCAAGACAAAAAGACCCUGUGGAACUUUAACAAAUGUUUAAACACAUUAAACAAUAGUUUCAGUUGGGACAACUUUAGAAAAAAUAAACUUCUUAAACUACUACGACCAACAAGUCUAAGACUCAUUCAGACCCAGUCACACUGAUUAACGAAACAAGCUACCCCAGGGAUAACAGCGCUACCUUCUCAAAGAGUCCAUAUCAACAAGAAGAUCUACGACCUCGAUGUUGGAUCAGGGUACCCAGACGGUGCAGCAGCUGUCAAUGGUUCGUUUGUUCAACGAUUAAU
rnacentral:rRNA from 1 species